rnacentral:lncRNA from 1 species
UUAAUUCAAAAAGACUGGCCCAUCUUCCACCUAAAUCUCAUCACCAUAUAGGUAUUCUACCAAUGAACUAAAUGAGUAGAUGAAAGAGUUUUUACCCUGCAAAUGUUGAAGUUUAUUAACUUCAAGGUUUAUCUUUUGGUGAUGGAGUCUCAUGGUCUUGAAAUUUGGAAGUUUGUUGACUUUUCAGGUUCUUUUAAUGUUGUUUCUUUAACUUUGCAAAUUUUGAUGUACUUUAAGAAUUAAUCUUUGUCAAUAUUUUGAAAAUUGCAAGAUCUAUCUUAAAUUUGUGAGCCUUAGUUACUCCUUUAAUGCUGCACAAUUUUAGCCUUUUAAAUUGUUUAUUUUGUGGUGAUUAUUUUUAUGCAUAUUAUUGUUAUUUAACAUAGAAUAUCAUUCCAAAAUCUUUACAAAAAGAAAACCACACAUGAUAUGUUCUUUGGAUCUGACAGGGUUGCAUCGGGAAUUGUAUGGUGGAAGUGGUGAAAGAUGCCACAAUCGAGCAUGAAAAAUCUGAUUGAUAAGUUGUUGGAUCUUUGGAGGUUUUGAUUGAUAAGGAAUAUGUUGCUACUACUUGUUAAAUGGUUGAAAAGACAAAUUGUAAAAGAGUUUAUAGCAUGCAGUUCAUGCUCCAUAACUUUUGCAUGUUAUACAACUUUUCAUAUAUUUUGUUAGGAUUUUAUUUAAAUACAAGUUGAAUGUAAAAAGUUUUUACUCUAUUGUCAAUUACAACCGU